rnacentral:rRNA from 1 species
AAAAGAACUUUGAAGAGAGAGUUCAAGAGUACGUGAAACCGCUCAGAGGUAAACGGGUGGAUCCGCACAGUCGGCCCGAGGAAUUCAGCUCGGCGUUGUCCGGGCCGGGGCGCGCGGGCGCGGAGAUCUUUAUUGACUCUGCCCCGCCGUCGUCCGGCCGUCGCCGGGUGCACUUUCCUCGGGCAGAGCGCCACGACCGGUUCUCGGGCGACCAUAAACCCGGCGGGAAGGUAGGCGUGGGCCGCAAGGCUCGCGCUGUUUUAGCCCGUCGGGAACGGCUCGCCUCGGGGACCGAGGAACGGCCGCGACCCAUGGCUACCCGGCCUUCCCGGGGAGUUCGACUGGCAGAGACUGGGCAACCGUGUCUGCCGACCGCUCCUCGGGUGUUGGAUCGGGGGUGCCUGGGUCGCUGAGGGUCAGCGGCGAAUCGGUCGGCCAUCCACCCGACCCGUCUUGAAACACGGACCAAGGAGUCUAACAUGUGCGCGAGUCGUUGGGUUGUACGAAACCCGAAGGCGCAGUGAAAGCGAGGGCCGCUUCGGGCGAGCCCAGGUGGGAUCUCUCGCCGCAACCCGGCGGGAGCGCACCACCGGCCCGUCUCGUCCGCGCUGUCGGUGAGGCGGAGCAGGAGCGUACACGUUGGGACCCGAAAGAUGGUGAACUAUGCCUGAGUAGAACGAAGCCAGAGGAAACUCUGGUGGAAGUCCGUAGCGAUUCUGACGUGCAAAUCGAUCGUCAAACUUGGGUAUAGGGGCGAAAGACUAAUCGAACCAUC